rnacentral:lncRNA from 1 species
GCAAGAAAAAUUAUUCUCAAGGACCUGCUUAAGUAUGGUCUUCAAAGUGGCACUGUCUAAAUUAGCCCUACAAUUAGUUUCAUUAAUGUUCCUCUACUUAGUGUCUAAUAAAUACUUGAAUGAAGGAGGGAAGGAAACAGAGACAACCUAAAACAAGAGAUUCCGGCCCCCAAAGAGCGCGGAGAGUCCAGAGGUGAGCUGAUUCGGCUCCUAACUUGUGCUCAAUUUCCACCUGCCUGCCCUGGCAAAUCGCGCUCCGGGAUCUGCACGCAGACUGAAUCGGUCCCUGAGGCCUCUGGGAUCCUGACUUUGCUGAGUUCGCUGGGCUAUUCCGGACCCCACAGAGUGCAGAGAGUGCAGAGAGGAGCUGCU